CUCAGUUCCAAUUCUCACGCUCGCCCAGCCGAUUGGUUGAACGGUUAAAAAGUACUUAAGACAGAAGAACGUUGAGCCGCGUUUUGAGAAACUUUCGAAGCAUUGACUGAACGCUUGUAGAAAAAGCCCACCAAUUAGUUGCCGCCGCAGAAAACCCACAGUUACUAGUAAAAUUUAGUUUAAAAG